GAGUCAACCAAGCCUGAAAAGGAUGAAACCAAGAAUGACCGAAGUCCAAAACUUCCUUCGACAGCAAACAUUGCAUGUAUUGGCCAAGAUCAACCGAAAGCGGUGCUCCUUCAGACUGCAUCGGCCAAAAUAUCCAGUGUUCAAGACCCACAAAUUCAGAUUAAAGCACGUAUCAUGUUUGACCUUGGAAGUCAAAGGACAUAUAUAUCAGAAAGCCUCAAAGAAAAGUUAUCUCUCGAAACUGUUAGAUCCAAUACAUUGAUGAUUAAGACCUUUGGAAGUACAUCGGAACAAAUUCAAGAAUGCCCUCCAGUUGAAUGCAUUGUGAACAGUCGUCAUGAUAAUUCAGCCUUAUGUAUCAAUGCAUAUGUCGUAC